rnacentral:rRNA from 1 species
UACGAGGGGGGCGAGCGUUGUCCGGAUUUAUUGGGCGUAAAGAGCGUGUAGGCGGCCUGGAAGGUCAGCUGUGAAAACUCGAGGCUCAACCUCGAGACGUCGGUUGAAACCACCUGGCUAGAGUCCGGAAGAGGAGUGUGGAAUUCCCGGUGUAGCGGUGAAAUGCGCAGAUAUCGGGAAGAACACCCGUGGCGAAGGCGGCACUCUGGGACGGUACUGACGCUGAGACGCGAAAGCGUGGGGAGCGAACAGG